GCAGUGCGCAGGCGCGGGAGUUCCAAAGCGAAACUGACUACGAACCAGACUGCUGCUCUACGGUACCGGAGAAACGUUUAACAAACUGAUAUCAGGCGUCCAGAAUGUACAGCCUAAGUAAAUGGUUUGGGAGCGAAGGAAUGCGGAUGAGGAGUUUCUACAGUGUGAACGGCAGUAAUGGCUGUAGUCUCCGCAUCUGUGAGGAAUUUAAGCUAAAGUUGAAGGCCAAGGGUCAGACUGAGGUGAUGUUACCAAACCAAUGUGACUACCUCCUGGCCUUCUGUACCAUCAGUACACGGCCGGGUAUUGAUAUCCAUGAGACUAUGGAGAAAUGUCCAGGUGGAAAGCAGGUUAUUUUGGUGGUGCUACAUCAUACCUAUGACCAUGGAAAGUUUGUCUCUCCCAAGGCAAAAGAGAUUUCAGCAAACAUCCUCCUCAGUGUGGACGUCAUGUUCUAUGAGGGAAAGAUGCUGGAAUGCCCCCACAAUGAAAGGGAAUUUGAUAAGAUCCUGAAAAUAGUUGGAUACCCCUAUUCUACGCUUGGAGAUUUUGUCUGCCAGACAGUUUGGCCUCGACGGUAUAAUAGCCCUGAUGGUUAAUAUAAUUUCAAUUACUUCCAUUUCACACCGCA
rnacentral:lncRNA from 1 species